UACAGAGGGAGCAAGCGUUGUUCGGAAUUAUUGGGCGUAAAGCGCGUGUAGGCGGUUCGUUAAGUCUGGUGUGAAAGCCCAGGGCUCAACCCUGGAAGUGCCCUGGAUACUGGCGAACUAGAGGACGGGAGAGGGUAGUGGAAUUCCUGGUGUACCGGUGAAAUGGGUAGAUAUCAGGAAGAACAUCGGUGGCGAAGGCGGCUACCUGGUCCGUAUCUGACGCUGAGACGCGAAAGCGUGGGGAGCAAACAGG
rnacentral:rRNA from 1 species